CAGUGAUCUAAAAUUUCAAAAAUAUAUGUAUAUUAUUAAUUAUUAUAAAAUUAAUUUUCAAAAGUAUAGAACAUGGGUCACCAAAUGGCAGCCCGCAGACAAAGAAUAAAUAACACAUAUUACGACAACAUUAUAUGUGUUAUUAUUGUAAAUUAUUAUUUUUGUUAAAUAUUAUUGGUUUUUAAAUAAUUUAAAUAUCUACUUAGAAUUUUGAUGGCCCAUAAAAAAUUUUCAGAUUCUCAAUGUAGCCCUUCAAAAAUAUUAAUUGGUAACCCCUGGUAUAGAAAUUCUUAAGCAGCUACGUUUCAAAUUUAAGUGACAUUAUUAUUUUAAAUUUAAACAGACAAUUAUUAUUACAUUUAAAAAAAUUGAUAAAUAUAAAAUACAAUUUAAUGGAUAUACAGAAAUACUGCAAAAUUAUACUUUCAUACAACCAAUUCUAUAAUGACAAUUAGUGUGUAAUUUAUACAUAGAUUAUAAAGUGAUGUUUAUGGUGUAUUACUAAACAAAACUUCAAAUUGAUUCAAUAGAGUAUUUUUUUGCUUGAAAAAGGUUACAAAAUAAAUGGUGGAGAUCUAUAGUCUAAACCAGCGGUUCCCAAACUGUGCACCGCCGUGCGCUAGGGGCACCGCGAGCACUUCCUAAGGGCACCGUGGUCUACGUUAAUUUGGUUAUCAAUGAGUAUUUUUUUUUGUUCUGUCUUUCGUAUUAUUCACAGCAGGGCACCGUAGCUAAAUUGGGUCAAAAAAAGGCACCGCGGAAAAAAAAGCUUGGGAACCGCUGGUCUAAAAAUACAUCAAAAAAUAUAAUGUUUGAUGAGUUAUUAAACGAAACAAAAGUAAUCUUUUGUGAAUAAUAAAUAUAAUAAUAACUUUUUGUCAAACAACCUUUUUUUAAAUACAUUUUUAUAAAUAUUUUAUGUAACAUUUAUAAGUUAAUAAAUAAUUAAGUUUACUUUAAUAAUUUAAAUGAACUUUUUUGUACGUCAUUUUUGUAGAACAGUACCCGUUUUUAAUAAAAUUGAUCUUUUUUAAAUUAGCAUUUUAAAUACCUACAUGGUAAUUGGUAAUUUUUUUUGGUAUCCAGAUAUUUCACCGCAAAUAAUUCACUGUGUGUACAAUUCUCGUAAUUAUUUUAUAGAUAAUGAUUUCACACAACAUACUAAUAUCAUAAAAUUAAUUUUUCAGUUGGUACUUGGUAUCUAUAAAUUAAAUUCCGGCAUAGUAUUUUUUAUAUGAUAGGCCACGAUGUAGAGAAGAUUCUCUACAUCGUGUGAUAGGCAAAGUUGAGCAGUAUAUAACUGAGUAUAUUCCAUGGGCAUAAAAAGAAAAUUGUGACUAUGCUGAAAGAUUAAAAAUUGUGUGCGAUGACUAUCGUAUAUCAAAAUAUAAUUACUUAAAAGAUUACUUAAGAAGCAUAGCCUAUAAUUUUUUAUAUUUUAGAUUCUGAACGAAGUGAUGAACGUCUUGAUUUUACAAUGAUGUGUGUUUUUAUUUUUAUUUUUGUGUCUGUCAUCACUUUUUGGAGUAGUAAUAAUGCUUCGAUUUUUGACUUCAGCCCAUCUUUAAAAAGGAAAAUUCAUCUAAUUGGUACUUUGGGGAGGUCAAAGGUAAAAAAUCGUUAGUCACAAUUUUUGUUUAUAAGCAUUUAAAGUUCAAAUAUUUACGAAAUAUAUCAAAAUCGCGAAAAUUUGUAAGGAAUUUUGAAGUUGAAAAUUCAUAAAAUUUUUGUGAUUUAUACUUAAGGUUCAAAAAUCCAAUACGUAAAUCCAUAGUUUUUUCUUUAAGUAAUUGUUAAAUAAAUUCUAGCGUCAAUAAAGGAAAAAUUUUAUGAGCUUAAGAAAUUUAGUUUUUUACGAAAUCGCGUAAAAUAACGAUAUAUUACAAUUUAAAUAUAGGUGAUAUUAUGAUAUAUCCUGCUAAUUACAAUUAUAUCAGUCGUUGCAUUCAAAUUUAACACAUCCAUUAUAGUGACCUACUCUCCAUCACUACUAUAUAGCAGAGCGAUACCCACUUGCCCACUUUUUUUAUUUAAUUAUUUAUAUAGGUAGUAAUUUAUUGUAAUAUUUUUUUUAGAUAAUAUGUAAAUGUAAGUACAUACAAAAACAAAUUUAUACUUUUUAAUUUAAUGAAUUAACUCAGUGAAUGACUUUUUUUUCACUGAAGUGACUUUUUUUCGAUCCUUUUUGAAAUGAAACUUCUUUACAGAGGGUACAAAAAAAAAGACGACAGUCGGUCGUCACGGGCCGCCGUUACAAAUUGCCGGCCUAAAAUUUUUAUUUAUAGCUUUUAUUUUGUAUUGUAUCUUCACCACAAACGACUAUGAUACCAAAUAAUUUAUUAUAUUAUUAAAAAUAUUAAUUAUUAUUAUAUUUAUUAACUUAUAUUUAAUAACCCUUGCCAGUGGUUUGUUUUAUUUUAGUAGCCUUCAACCCUUUCCAUUGGUUUGUCGUUCUUCGUUGUUUACGACUGCCUGGACCUAUGUCAGAUGCAGAACGUUCAUGACAGUAUCGUAUUCAGAAACGUGAAGAUAUAUUGCAAAAUAACCCGGAUGCUAUAUUAACAUUAUCUCUUAGUCCUGUAUCUGAUACAAAAUUUGCACGACAGCUUUGUAUAUGGAAUAGACAUUUAUAAUUUUUUAAUA